rnacentral:rRNA from 1 species
GACGUAGGGGGCAAGCGUUGUCCGGAAUUAUUGGGCGUAAAGAGCGUGUAGGCGGUCCGGUAAGUCAGCUGUGAAAGUCAAGGGCUCAACCCUUGAAAGCCGGUUGAUACUGUCGGGCUAGAGUCCGGAAGAGGCGAGUGGAAUUCCCGGUGUAGCGGUGAAAUGCGCAGAUAUCGGGAGGAACACCAAUGGCGAAGGCAGCUCGCUGGGACGGUACUGACGCUGAGACGCGAAAGCGUGGGGAGCAAACAGG